UAAUAUGGGCUUUAUUUGAGGUCCCACAUAUCAGCAACCAAUUGAAUCUAUAACGUGUUUUCUCAAAUCAAUUGCCUUAUUUUCCUCAGACCAUUGUUGCAUUCCAAAUUCACAUCCCAUACAACAUACUUUCUGUAUCCAUUUUACUCUCACAACAUUUUUUCUUCAAUUUAGUAAACAGGAGAAUUGCUUUCAUAUUAACUCUCCCGUAAAUCAUCUCCUCAAUUUGAAUUUGAAUUUUUAAUGAAGUAAAUUGAUAGAGUUCCCAUAUAUAGGCUCUAUUUUCGAGUCGUUAAUCUCUGUUGAUACGUGAGAUCCCAAUUUUUGUGGAACAAAAUGAAUUCCAUAUUGAAAUCACUCUAUAAAUUCGAUUACUGUUCUGGCUAUUAUUCACACCUUGGUUUUCUUCUUCAAUUCAUUUGUCAUCCAGGUUUCUUCUUUAAUCUGAUGUUCUUAAUUUUUAUUAAUUGUAUUCGAUUUUUUAUUAUCAUGAAUGUGUGGUGUAUCUGAUUGCCUUCUUAACCUUGCAUUUGAUGUUGCACUCUAUGUGUUUGAUAAAAUGCCCAUGAGAUAUGUCUUAUCAAAUACUAUUACACACUAUUGUCUGUAUUUUUGUGCUACUUACCACAUGUGUGUGUGUGUGUGUGUUUGUGAUUCCUAACUUUCCUGCAUUUUGUUUGGGUUAAAUCAUAAACUUGGUUAGCUUACUCAUCCGGGAAGAAAAGGAAGAUCAACUAUUUCAUAAAAAAAAGUAGUUGAUAUCUUGGAUAUUGUAUCUAUAUCAGCAUGUCUAUUUUUGAGCAAACCAUGGGUUUUCACUCUCAUUUAGUUUCUUUAUGCUAUAGUUAUAUGGUAAGAAAAGUGAUUAUGCUAAUAUUAACAUGUUGGUUGUUUGUGUGAUAGCUUGAACUUAUCUUUGGUAGGUAUUAUAUGUCAACUGAACCAAAUGUAGUGAAGGAUUGGGCUGUAUUUUAAGUCUUAAAGGAAUUUUCAGCCCUUUUUCUUUUUUGAACAGUUGUAAGAUAAAGGGUUAUUUGUUACUUCUAAAUAGAAAGGUACUUUCAACAAUAAUCUUUAGUCCAAAUAUCAAAUUGAAGAAAUGACUUUUUAUGUGAUUUUAGGUCAAAAAGUUCAUUUACUCUUUGCUACUUAGAGAUAGAUCAUUUGCGCUUAUUGGAUUAAAAUUUUGAUUUUUGACUUUAGAAAUACCAAGUUUCUGGACAUAACAGCUUAUGUGCAUGGCUAUAAGUAAUAUGGAGACACAAUAGGGUGGGGAAAAGUACACAAGGCCCAAAACUAUAGCAACAUAGUUUUCUUUUUUUACCUGAUCGUUAUAUAGUUUUCUUGAUGAACGUUUUUACAAGCACAUUGUCAAAAAUAAAGAGAAAUUUAUUUCCAAAUGUAAUGAGUUUAGUUCAAACCCUAUUUUAUUUCAAAAAGAGAAGAGAUAGUUGGUUGUUUUUUUAUUGCUUCUGUUUUCUUUUGGUUGAAAGUAUCAAGAAUUCAUUUUUAUAGUGUAUUUGUUAUAAGAAUGUGUUUGCUUUCAUAAUUUUUUCUUUAACAUGUUUUUCAGAUAGACACUCAAGGGAAAAAUGUAAUGAGUGCUUCAUCUUCUUGGGUGCCUAAGAAUGAGCUUCUACAGAUUUAAAUAUUCAUUGAUAGUAAUAUGGGAGAAUAAGACCAAAAGACCAAACCCGAUGUUUCUAUUAAGUAAGGUUAAUAUUUACCAUCUCAAGUUUUUCCCAUUUUUAUAAUAUGAGAACAGAUUGAUAAAUUACAUAAAUUUUUCAUAAUUUUGGUAUUUUCUCUAACCAUUUCAUAGGAGAUAAGUUAUUUAUUCAUACUUUUAUGAUUUUAGGGUUUUCUUUCACGAUUUAAAAAGAAACAAUUUGAAAUAAAAGUUUGAUAGAUGAUAUGUGUGUAAACUGUGGUUGUUUUGUGUAUGAAUUUGCAUUCCUGGAUUAGUUUUCUUAAAUUUCUUAUAUUAAUUUCUAAGAAAUAGAAUUUUAUAACGUUAGCAUGUUCAUCCUUCUUUUUUGUGACCUUUUUGGUCAUUUUCUCAUUCUUAUAUAUAUAUAUGAUUCAUAAUUUUGGCAUUCUUAAGCUAAAAAAUACUAAUAUGAAACUUUUAAAAUUAAAAGUUUGAUUUUUUUGAGUUUUUUAGUCAAGAUGACCAUUUUGACCUUUUUGUCCAAUUUGGUCAUUUUUACCGGUUUUAUUUUUUUAAAAUUUUUUUUCGUAAUAUGGUCAUUUUUGCUGAAAAUAGUCAUUUUGAUCAUUUUGCUUAAUCUGAUCAUUUUGACCAUUUCGGUCAAUUUGAUCAUUUUUUAUACAGGGACCAUUAAUGUCUAUUUUGUUAAACAUGGGCUAUUUAUACAAUAUUUUUAUAUACGGACCAUUUUUUUUAAAUUUAUUUAAAUAGGGAUUAUUCCUGUAGUUAAAUAUAUUUAAAACAGGUAAUAAUUACUUUCAUUUUUUAAGUUUAGCAAUGUACUUUUUAUAAUAAAAAGUAUGAUGUUAUAUUAGAGAUAAAACUGAAAUAUGUUGCUAUAUAUUGCAUUUAGCACAUGACCGAUUUGUCGUUUCUAUGAGAUACUAUGCCAAUAACACAAGUUUUUUUUUUUUUUUUUUUUUGGUUAGGUUCCUAAAGAACAUGUACAGAGGAGGAAAAUGACUCAAAUCGAUGUUUGCUUUGGUUAUACACCAAGUCAAGCUACCAUUUUAUAUAAUCUAAAUUAAAUUGAUUUAGACUUUAUUUUUUUUAGAGUAAGUUUAUUAAAAUUUCUUAAAAAAGACAACUCGUAAAUUACAUUCUAUAUGAAUUUUUAAACUUUUGUAGUAAUGGAACUAAAUGAUGCUUCUAUAUAGAUACAAUCCAAAUUAAAGUACUAUGUUAUUUCUUGCAUCUUACUCAACAAUGGGUUAUAAUUAAUUCCACGUUUUUUUCAAUUCUAACUCUUAUUAAAAGUUUAUAGCAUUAUAGUUAAUUUUUCUUAUUGACACAUUAUACUUUAGAAAAUUCACAUAGUUUAGCAUCUUACUUACAUUUAUUUUUAUUACAACAUUAUGGUUUUCUAUUUUUAUUAUGAUCUUCCAUGUGGUUCAAGAUGCUCUUUUGUUGAGGUAGUAUAUAUGAAUAUUACGCAAGGAAAGGAAAAAAUAUUGAUUUUUGUUGUUCCUUUAGCCAAAUUGUUGUUACUGAUGGAACUUUACGCGGCAAGGCUAUUCCCAGAGUUUUCAUUGUGACUACUAAAUAUGUCUGAUAUUUUUUAUAAUAUGAAUUCAAUUACUUAUUUAAUAUUCAUCAUUUCGUUUGUAUUUAUAUAAAAAUAUUUAAUGUUUACAUCUUGAUAUUCAACUGUUUUUAAUCAACCCGUUGGGUCUCACACCUAGUGCAGAAAAAAAAAUCAAAGAACUAUAAACCAUCUACCUUUCUAUUUCAAAAAACUCCUAAAAUUUAACUAGUACAAAACAAUUAAGCAAAAUCUACAAGUAACUAAUGCGUUGUUUUUUAUUGAUGCUCAAAAUUUCCACUCCUGGCUCAAAAAUAACAAAAAGUAACAUCUUUUUGUCUGUUUUUUUUUUUUUCAUAAUAAUAUUAUAUAUUUUAUAGGGACUUACUAUUGUUUUGCGGAGAUGGAAGGAGUGUUUGAGAGUAAACAAACUACACAUUCAUGGGAUUUCAUUGGUCUUGGAGAAGAAAAAACCAAACCUGCGGAAUUUUCCACAAAGGAGCAAGUUAAGUUGAUUGAUGUCAUUUCUGAUUUUGUAACUAACUAACUAACUCUGUUUUUGGUUUUUGAAAUGAUCAACAUCUUUUAUUUUUUUUGUAAUUAGGAUUUUAUGAUGGGAAAGUUUUAGCAAUUCCGACAUGCCACCCCACCGGAAUGGAAAGGAAUAUGGAAACAUUCAACGCCACAAAUUGCAACAGCUUUUCUUCAAUCAGUUCCAUAUGGGUUUUCUUUAGCUUUUAAGUGGAUAAUCCAAUCCCUAAAUGAAUGUUUUUGUUAAAAUUCAUUUGAUUUAUUUUUAAUAUAAUUAAAAAUGAUGCAGAAAGUGGAACAUUUGAGAGCAAAGAAAAAGUUAUUGCUAUGGUAAUUAAUUAUUAAAGUGGAUAAUCCAAUCCCUAAAAAUUGAACUUUCUUCAUGUGCUUCCCUCGAGGUUAAAAUCCCCCACUUCAACAUCUAGUGUGUGUGUGUGUGUGUGUGUUUAAAACUUGAUAGUAAUCCACUUAGACAGGUAAAUUAGACUUUUUAAAGGGAUAAUAUUGGUCAUUUUUCGUAUGUUAUCUCAUUCUCCUUCAUUUUGUAGAUUCCAUCAGAUGGGUUUGAAGCUCUACUAAAUGGUGUCUGUCUGUGUCUGUGCCUCUGUGGUUACACCACACCACACCACACCAAUAUUGCAUUGCAG
rnacentral:lncRNA from 1 species